AUAUGCUACUUAAGGCACAUGGUGGAUGCCUCGACUUGUAGAGCCGAUGAAGGACGUAGCAGCCUGCGAUAAGCUUCGGGGAGGUGGCAAGCAACCUUUGAUCCGGAGAUGUCCGAAUGGGGAAACCCCAAUAAUUGGAAGAUUAUUGACUGUGCACUGAAUUCAUAGGUGUACGGAGGGAACCAGGGGAAUUGAAACAUCUUAGUACCCUGAGGAAAAGAAAGAAAAAUCGUCAUUUAUGCCAGAACGAUAGAAUAGUCUAUCAGUCUGGUAUAAAUGACUCUAUUCCCUGAGUAGCGGCGAGCGAAAAGGGAUCAGUCUAAACUUCACAAACUGCGUUCCAGAAGCCUUCGGGUGGAUGGGGCUUAAGGGUACACGCCCAUAUGUUCGUGAGGUGUUGUGAGAGAUUAUGUUUAUUCCCGUGUAGUGAAUAAGAUAUGUGAUAUGUGUUUUCCUGCAAAGGAAAGCAUGUGGCCUGCCUAGCAGAAUCUCCUGGAAAGGAGAGCCAAAGAAGGUGAUAGCCCUGUAUACGAAAGGUGUCACACAUAUAUGGUAAUUUUCUCAAGUAGGGUAGGACCCGAGAAAUCCUGCCUGAAUCUGCCUCGACUAUUGAGGUAAGACUAAAUACUCUACAAGAUCGAUAGUGAACAAGUACCGUGAGGGAAAGGUGAAAAGCACCCCGGAAGGGGGAUGAAAUAGUAUCUGAAACCAUGUGCUCACAAAGAGCUAGAGCCCUGGCAUUUAUGCCGGGUGAUAGUAUUCCUAUUGAAGAAUGAGCCAACGAGUUAUUUAUUGUCGCAUGUUUAAUCCCGAUAGGGAGUAUGCGUAGCGAAAGCGAGUCUUAACCGGCGAUCGGCACUCAAUAUUUACAGCGCUCUUUAUGGGCCUGUAAGUUUUGAAUGUCCAAGCGGCAAUGAAUAGACCCGAAACCGUGUGAGCUAGCCAUGACCAGGGUGAACCUUGCGUAAAAGCAAGGGGAGGCCCGAACCCACCAGCCGUGCAAAUCUGGGGGAUGAGUUGUGGUUAGAGGUGAAAUGCUAAUCGAACACGGCAAUAGCUGGUUCUCCUCGAAACAGUUUUAGGACUGGCCCUCGAUGUUCCUUUGGGGGGUAGAGCACUGAAUGGAUAAUGGGGCGUUAAGCUACCGUAUCUACUCAAACUCCGAAUACCCAAAGUCAAGAAUCGGGGAGUUAGACCGUGGGGGCUAAGCUUCACUGGUCUAAAGGGAAACAGCCCAGAUCACAAUUUAAGGUCCCUAAAUCUCUUCUAAGUGGGAAAGGUUGUAUGGCGACUGUGACAAUCAGGAGGUUGGCUUAGAAGCAGCCAUCCUUUAAAGAAAGCGUAAUAGCUCACUGAUCAAGUUUCUGUGCGCCGAAAAUGUAACGGGGCUAAGAAGAGUACCGAAAAUGUGAUCCCCCACUUUAGUUUGAGUAAUAUUCCAUCUGUCUUUUUGCGACGGAAAGGUUUCGACUUUUCUUAUCCGCAACAGAUAGUUGGUAGUAAGAGCUCUUAUUUUUUAAUAAGACCUUUUGCACUCAAACUAAAGUGGGGGAGGUAGAGGAGCGUUCUGAUUGCGCUGAAGUCCGACUCGUGAGAGCGGGUGGAGCGAUCAGAAGUGAGAAUGUUGGCAUAAGUAGCAAAAAGACUGGUGAAAAUCCAGUCCACCGAAAACCCAAGGUUUCCUGGGCAACGAUGAUCGACCCAGGGUUAGGCGAUCCUAAGGCGAGGCCGAAAGGCGUAGUCGAUGGAAGAGCAGGUUAAUAUUCCUGCCCUACAUUAGUAUUCCAAUGGAGGGACGGGGUUCUGAAAUUUUUACGUGUUUAUUGGUAUGCACGUUUCUGUUUUGGUUGAGGCUUGUAGGUAAAUCCGCAAGCGGAAUCGACUGGAAUGGGUAAAGGGGAAGCCUUCGGGCGGAACCAAAAAAAAGACAGGAUCUCCCAGAAAAACUUCUAGGGCUAAUACUAGUGUAUCCGUACCGCAAACCAACACAGGUGGGUAGGAUGAGAAUUCUAAGGUGGACGAGAGAACCCUCGUUAAGGAACUCGGCAAAACAGCGGUCGUACGUUCGCAAUAAGGCCUGCCCAGCAUUACGCUGGGCCGCAGCGAAAGACUUCAGGCGACUGUUUACCAAAAACACAGGUCCCUGCUUAAAUCGUAAGAUGACGUAUAGGGGCUGACGUCUGGCCAGUGUCCGAACGUUAAGGUGAGGUGUGCAAGCACUGAACUUAAGCGCGGAUGAACGCCGGCGAUAACUAUAAUCGUCCUAAGGUAGCGAAAUUCCCUGUCGGGUAAG
rnacentral:rRNA from 1 species